rnacentral:misc_RNA from 1 species
GGCUUAGUAGCUGGCAGACGAAAACAAUCAAUCAUAUAAAAGAGAUUAGUUGGAUCAUGCAUCAUCACCGUACGCAUACAACAUAAAUGGAAACUUAACUAAAAUUAAUUAAAUUUCAAUUCUGAGUGCAUACACUCGCUAGAUUAAAACCUAAAGAAGUCGUUGACCAACACAAAAGGCAUCCAGUUUUACCAAUAGUCAUUGCAAGAACAUGACCCCUCUUUGAAGUGGUGGAAGCGGUUUCGAUCCCUAAGAACAAUUUCUCUAUUAUAUACCUUUGAUAUUAUUUUUGCUGCAUUGUGGCAAUCAGUACACACUCUCAGAUUUUUGGAUAUUCUAAUCGUAGCUCCAGGAGGAGUUCUUAUAAGACCAAAUGCAAUGGCCAGCUUCUCACUAUGAUGAGAAACUGCAGCUUCCUUAUCAUCUUCUUCUGCAUCUAUUCUUGCAUCUGCUGUGUUUGGGACAUAUCCAGCGGCCUUGAUUUGUUUUAUCAUGUCUUCGGCGGCGCAAUAAACUUCCUUCAGCGGAUAUGCAUUCUCUUCAGCCAAAAAUUCGUAAAUCUCUCCUUCCAACUCAAUUAAACUACAACCAGGUGUUUUCUUGAUUCCCCUCUCUUUCAUCUGAUUCCUUGUCCUCAUUGCGUCCUCCCACCUCCCCACUGAUGCAUAAAUAUUAGACAACAGAAUGUAAUCCCCACUAUGCAUAAGCUCCAAACUAACUAGUUGUUUGACUGCCUCCUCCCCAAUUUCAACAUUUUUAUGAGCUCUACAGGAAGCCAGCAGUGUUCUCCAAAUAACAGCAUUCGGUUGGAAAGGCAUUUUCUUUAUGAACUGAUAAGCCUCUUUGAUCAAUGCAGCUCUGCCAAGGAUGUCUACCAUGCAACCAUAGUGUUCCAUCCUUGGUUCAAUACCAAAUUCUUUACUCAUGCUGUUGAAAAACUCAUGACCCUCGUCAACCAGACCAAAAUGACUACAUGCAGAAAGAACUCCAAUGAAAGUUACAUCAUUUGGCUCAAUAUUUCUUUCCCGCAUCAAUUGAUAAAACUUGAGAGCUUUUUUUCCUUGCCCGUUAUUAGCAAGACCCUGAAUUAGGGCUGUCCAUGAGUAAACAUUUUUUGAAGGCAUCAUUUGAAACACUUCAGUUGCACUAUCUAUUUGUCCGCAUUUUGCGUAGAAAUCUAUUAGUGCGGUUCCCAGUGUGACAGUGAGCUUCAUCCUCUUCUUCUUAAUAUACAGGUGAACCCACUUGCCAGUCUCCAGGGUCCCAAGGACCGCACAACAGGAUAGCACACUGACCAUUGUAACCUCAUUGGGAUGCAAAUUUGCAAUCUGCAUCUCACUAAAAAGAUCAAGCGCCUCCUUACAUCUCCUUGCUUGACUAUAACCAGAAAUCAUAGCACUCCAGGCAACAACAUCCCGUCGAUCCAUUUGGUCAAACAAUCUCUGUGCUUUGUCCAGCUCACCACAUUUCGCAUACAUAUCAACAAGAGCCGUAACUAAGUUGACAUUUACAACAAGCCCAUUUGCCCUUGUGUAUUCAGCAAUCCACUCUCCCAAUUCUAUAUCAGCCAAUCUUCCACUUGCUGUCAAAACACUAACCAAAGUAAUCUCAUUGAACCGAACACCCAAUGCCCUCAUUUCAUAGAAUAACCUCACGGCAUCCUCAUAAUACCCACUCUUAACAUACCCCGAAAACAUCGAAUUCCAUGCAAAAAUAUCUCUUUCAGGCAUUCCAUCAAAAACUUUCCUCGCUAUCUCGAUUUCACCACAAUUAGCAUACAUGUGAAUUAAAGUGUUCAAAACAAUACCGUUAGACCAAAACCCACAUUUCACAAUCUGAGCAUGGAUCUGUUUUCCCUCUUUUCUCCCACGCAAUCUAGAACAAGAUUUUAGAGUGCAAGGGAAAGUGAAUUCAUCGAAAGGAACCGCGUUUUCGAGCAUUUGUUUGAACAAGAUCAAGGCUUUUUGAGGAAAUUGCUUCAUUGUGAAGGCCCUUAUCAUCACGUUAUAGGCCGAAGAAUCGGGAUCGUCUAUUUUGUCGAAAAUGGAUAGUGCGUAGUCCAUGGUGGGAGUGGGGAGGAGGAUGGCGGCCGAUUCGAGAAGGUUCUCGAUCACCGUAGGGUCGAGGUGGCGGCGAGUUUUGAGGAGGUGGGCGUGAACUUGGUUCAGGUCUUUGGUUGUUUUGCAUUGUUGCAAGAUUAGGGUUUUUGGGUUUUCUGGGAACUGGGAAAUGUUGGUUACGGGUGGGAGAAAUUUGGCCGGAGAAUGAGCAAGUACAGUAGCCAUUUUGGUGCGGCUAUCCUAUCUUUGAAUUGCCAUUUUGGAACGUU